rnacentral:rRNA from 1 species
GAAUUCACUAGUGAUUCAGGCCUAACACAUGCAAGUCGAGCGAGGUUUUCGGACCUAGCGGCGGACGGGUGAGUAACGCGUGGGAACGUGCCCCUUGGUACGGAAUAGCCCCGGGAAACUGGGAGUAAUACCGUAUGAGCUCUACGGAGGAAAGAUUUAUCGCCAAGGGAUCGGCCCGCGUUGGAUUAGGUAGUUGGUGGGGUAAUGGCCUACCAAGCCGACGAUCCAUAGCUGGUUUGAGAGGAUGAUCAGCCACACUGGGACUGAGACACGGCCCAGACUCCUACGGGAGGCAGCAGUGGGGAAUCUUAGACGAUGGGCGCAAGCCUGAUCUAGCCAUGCCGCGUGAGCGAUGGAGGCCUUAGGGUUGUAAAGCUCUUUCAGCGAGGAAGAUAAUGAC